rnacentral:lncRNA from 1 species
UAACAAGAUUAGGGUGGGGCAACCAGCCUUUCCUGAGCACUAUGUAAACGUCAUAGCUGAUCAAACCAAUCUGUGAGCCCUAUGUAAAUCAAGACACAUUAAAACAGUCCACACUAAAUCAGACACUGCCUCCUCAAACUGGUGUCUUCACUACCAGCCAGUCCUUUCCAUUCGGAGACCUCUUCUUCUAUAGAGGAAGCUAUUUCUCUUUUCUCUUCUACCUAUUAAACCUCUGCUCCUAAACCCCUUGUGUGUGUCUGUGUCCUAAAUUUUCCUGGCCUGUGACAAUGAUAAAUAUAUACCUGAGGGCAUAUACCCCAGACAAUGUAGCCACUUCACCAGGUUCAAGUUAUUCUCCUGCCUCAGCCUCCCCAGUAGCUGGACUACAGGCAUGCACCAUGCCCAUCUAUUGACCAAUAUCAGCUGGAAGUGAGUUUCAGUUUCUCUCUGGCCCCACCAUGGUCAGCCCCAACCAUCCUCCUGAUUGCCUUGGAAGAAUAGCCUUCGAAAUUGGACAUCUGCAUCCAGAUAGAUGGAGUGUCACUCUGUCCCCCAGGCUGGAGUGCAAUGGUGUUAUCUCGGCUCACUACAACAUCUGCCUCCCAGGUUCAAUCAAUUCUCCUGCCUCAACCUCCCGAGUAGCUGGGACCACAGGAGCAGGCCACCACGUUCAGCUGAUUUUUGUAUUUUUAGUAGAGAUGGGGUUUCACCAUGUUGGCCAGGCUGGUCUCGAACUCCUGACUUCAAGUGAUCCACCCACCUCGGCCUCCUAAAGUGUUGGGAAUACAGGCAUGAGCCACCUCACCUGGCCUAAAAUAUACAUUUUAAUAAUGGUGACAUAAUUUGGUAGCCAAAGAAACUGCUUUGAAUGUUCCAGGCUAUUGGGCCAUUGAUGGGGAAUUAAAGUAGGUUGAAAUUUAAUCAGUUGAUAUUACUUUGUAAGGCUAAUUUUUUUCCUUUUUGAAAUGAUUUCAUUAAUAGCUGACAUAUUUAUUUUGCAACAAGCUACUUACAAUAAAGGAAUAAUAGUCUA